ACAUCAUCGUGAAAUUAGUCAGGAUAGCUUCCUAGAACCUCAAAACGUCCAAAUUUGAUAGAAAUUCGGUUUUUGCAAAUCGGACCGAAACCAAUAACUUCCCGAAUUUUUGAAAAUUUUCAAUUUUCUUAGCGGGAAGUUAAAAAUCGGUCUAUAAGUUGACCCUGCGGGCCAACCCCAAAACUUCACGCUGUUUUCGAGCUCGUUGACUUCGAAAACGUUGUCGUGAAUACAUUUUCGAGCUCUUCGAGCUCGCAAAUACUUUUGUAUGCCAUUGUUUUGUAAAAAACCAUUUUUUAGCAUUUCUUUCUCCUACGAUAUCUCGCGAACGAAUCAACCGAUUUUGAUGGUUGAGGCGGCAAUCGACGCGUUUUGUCAAGUUCUAAAGCUGAUCAAAUUUUGAAUUCGAUUUAUUGAGUCGUUUUUGAAAUAUUUCAGAAAAAAUAAAAAAUUUUUUUUUUUUUAAUUCUUUUGACAACGGUUUCUCUUGAACGAAUGAACCGAUUUUGAUAGUUGAGGUGGCAUUCGACGCGACUCAUGAAGCUCUAGAGCCCAGUCCAUUUUGGAAUCAAUCCAUCGAACACAUUAAAAGUUAUCCAUAAAAAACAUUUUUGAAAAAAGUUUAUUUUUGGAAUAUCUCUGAACGAGUCCUACCGAUCAAGCUCAAUUUUCUUUCAGCUUCAAGAUAUUGACAAGCCGCGUCGAAUGACACCUUAAAGUUCAAAAUCGGUUCAUCCGUUCAAAAGAUACAGGUAUUUACAUACGUACGUACGUUCAUACAUACAUACAUACACUCGGACGUCAUCUUAAAAUUAGUCAGAAUAGCUCCCUAGGACCUCAAAAUGUCGACAUCUGAUGGAAAUUCGAUUUUCGUAAAUCGGACCGAAAUCAAUAACUUCCCGAAUUUUUGAAAAUUUACAAUUUUCUUAGCGGGAAGUUAAAAAUCGGUCUAUCGAAUAAGCCUGCGUGCCAGCCCCGAAAACUUCCCGCUGUUUUCGAGCUUAGCGAGCUCGAAAACAUUAUUGUGAAUACAUUUUCGAGCUCUUCGAGCUUUCUCCUAUAGGAGAAAGAAAUGCUAAAAAAUGUUUAAAUUUUCCGGACUUCUAUUUGAAAAACUCAGUUCUAGAGUUCUAAAGACUUUUUCAGACAGAAGUCCGAAAAAUUUUCACCAGGGAUUAUCUAAUCAAGUUUCUUUAUCCGGGAAAAGGGACAUAAAAUGUUAUUUUUCAAAAAUUUUGACGACCAUAUCUUCUGAACAAUCAACAGAUUUUGAUGUUCGAUGUAACAAUCGGCACGUUUUAUUGAGUUCUAGAGCAGAUUAGAUUUUGAAGUUGAUCGUUAGACGUCUUUAUGUCAGCACUGGAGUGGAACACUUUUUUACUUUAACUAGAUAAACCCUACAGUACUCGAUAUCACUGGAUGUUUAAGAUAACUAUUUUUUAACCCUUCGUUGGUCGCGCUUGAGCGACUCCCCGCUUUUUUUCAUUAUUUUGUAAUAUAAAAAAAAAAAUUUUUUUUUUAUCUUUCAACAAUUCAGCUAUUCCUUCUUUGAUCUAUUCAACAUACAUUAAAAGAGUUUCUAAAGUUAUAAUUAUUUAUAUUAAUUAUAUAUUAAAUAAUGAAUGUCGAAUGAACGUCGAAUUACGGCGAUUCCCCGUAAGCGCGACCAAACUAGACAGUAAAAUUUUAUUCUCAACGUUGCCACAUGUACGGAAUCGAAAUAUAGAUAGCUAGUAUGGCUGUCAUAAAUUGUCUAUAAAUUUGGCAACGCUGUAUGAAAAUUAACAUUACGGCGAUUCCCUAACCACGCAACCAACGAAGGCGGGCAGAGAAGCGCGACCAACGAAGGGUUAACUAACCCUGUUUUGCCCGAAGUCAGGGUGGUGCUGAAAAUUUUCGAAAAAUCUACCUUCCAUUCUGAUUGCCAGAUCAUAUUUUUUUUUUCAUUUUUUCACUAACCGCGUUUUACCCUUUCAGCUCUAUAUGUUUUUGACAUUCAACUAUUGAUCUCAAACUCGAUACUUCGUGAUAACUUUUGGUCUUGUGAAAUUAAAAAUCUAGUAAUUUUCCAUCGUUAUUUAUUUUGCAAAGUAGAAGUUUACAUUUAUUAGUUUAUAAGAUAAAUUUUAUCAGAAAAAAAUAUUUAUCAUCGGAAAUGUCGAAACACAUAACAGUCAAUAACUAAAGGUCAGCGAUCCGUGGAUCGGUUACAUAAAAGCUUUCAGAAUAAUCGGUAAUAAAUAAUAAUUGCUUACACUUUCUGAAUAUGAAUUAGUGAUUUUUCACUAAUUUUAAGUGAAAAUAUACCCCAGUCGAAAAGUUUCAGCAUUAUUUCAAACUGAUUAGGCUUAACUAAACCUUAAAUGAAGCUGAAUGCGCUGAACUGAACCUUACUUGAAACUGACUAAGCUUAAUUGAGCCUUAAAUUAAAUUGUUCAGCCUUUCAGUUGAAAUUAUUUCAAACUGAUCAGCCUGCUAGUGGAAUUAAGUUAAAGCUGAAUUCAACCUGAAUAAGCUUAAGCUUCAAACUGAGAAAUCAAUAGAAAACUAAAAAAAAAAAAUUUUUUUUCCGUAAUUCGCCAAUAUCUUCGAGUCUACUUGAUCAAAUGAUCUGAAAUUUUCAGAAAAGUUGAUGGCCAACAAGCUCUUUCGAUUGCCGCCUUAACCAUCCAAAUCCGUUUAUUAUAGUUAAAAAGUUAUGAUUUAGUUUAAAUGUUUGAAAAUUUAUUAAUCGGAAAUCAUUAAUAAACAAUCUUUUCUCUAAUUAUUACUCCAUAUUAUGGUCAAUAAAAUAAAUAUAAUUAUGCAGGAAUCAAUGUUAGUGAUCAUAAGUCAGAUUUAAAGGAUUUUUGACUCAGAUUGAAGCUUUAGCAUUUAGAAUAUCUGAAAAGCAUCAUAAAAAAUGUGUUUUUGAAAUGUUUUUGUUGAUAAUAUGAUUUGAACUAAAGAAUAAGUCAUACAUUUCUUUAUAAGGUGAUCGAAAGAGACCAUAAAGACGAAAAUUUUUCAUGAUUUUAAACACAUUUUAGUACAUCCCUAGUGAAAAUUUUCCAGACUUCUAUUUGAAAAACUCAGUUCUAGAGUUCUAAAGACUUUUUCAGACAGAAGUCCGAAAAAUUUUCACCAGGGAUUAUCUGAUCCUGUUUCUUUAUCCGGGAAAAGGGACAUAAAAUGUUAUUUUUCAAAAAUUUUGACCCCCAUAUCUUUUGAACAAUCAACAGAUUUUGAUGUUUGAUGUAACAAUCAGCACGUUUUAUUAAGUUCUAGAGCGGAUUAGAUUUUGAAGUCGAUCGUUAGACGUCUUUAUGUCAGCACUGGAGUGGAACACUUUUUUACUUUAACUAGAUAAACUCUACAGUACUCGAUAUCACUGGAUGUUUAAGAUAACUAUUUUUUAACUAACCCGUUUUGCCUGAAGUCAGGGUGGUGCUGAAAAUUUUCGAAAAAUCUACCUUUCAUUCUGAUUGCCAGAUGGUAUUUUUUUUUCAUUUUUUUACUAACCGCGUUUUACCCUUCAGCUCUAUAUGUUUUUGACCUUCAACUAUUAAUCUCAAACUCGAUACUCCGUGAUAACUUUUGGUCUUGUGAAAUUAAAAAUCUAGUAAUUUUCCAUCGUUAUUUAUUUUGCAAAGUAGAAGUUUACAUUUAUUAGUUUAUAAGAUAAAUUUUAUCAGAAAAAAAUAUUUAUCAUCGGAAAUGUCGAAGGACAUAACAGUCAAUAUAUACAAAGGCCAGUAAUCCACGGAUCAGUAACAAAGAAGCUUGCAGAAUAAUCGGUAAUAAAUAAUAAUUGCUUAUAUAUUUUUAAUUAUAAUUCUUAUUCUAUUGAAUUUACGAAUAAAAAAGUAAAAUAUUUUUUCAAGAUAUAAAGAAACAAAAUGUCGAAAAUAACUUUAAUAUUAUCAAUUUUCGUAUUGAUUUUUAUCUGUUCUGGUGCAUAUGCAGCAUGUCCUGGCGGUUGGUGCCAUCCAUCACAAGGAUAUGGCUGCUGUGAAGGACAUAUAUGCAGUUCGCAUUAUUUUCAAGGUACAUGUUUAACCGAUAAGGAAUGGGAGGAGAGAAACUCGGGGACAGUAAUAAUAUAGGAUCAGGAAAAUAAUCACAACAAUACAGUGAAGAUUUUAAAUGUAUUGUACCAAUUAAUAAAAAUCACUGUCUUACGAAAAAAAUUA